rnacentral:misc_RNA from 1 species
GAUGAAGAACGUAGCGAAAUGCGAUACGUAAUGUGAAUUGCAGAAUUCAGUGAAUCAUCGAGUCUUUGAACGCACAUUGCGCCCCCUGGUAUUCCGGGGGGCAUGCCUGUCCGAGCGUCAUUACGCCCCUCAACUCCCCUGUGGACUUGGUGUUGGGGAUCGGCGAGGCUGGUUUUCCAGCACAGCCGUCCCUUAAAUUAAUUGGCGGUCUCGCCGUGGCCCUCCUCUGCGCAGUAGUAAAACACUCGCAACAGGAGCCCGGCGCGGUCCACUGCCGUAAAACCCCCCAACUUUUUAUAGUUGACCUCGAAUCAGGUAGGACUACCCGCUGAACUUAAGCAUAUCAAUAAGCGGAGGA